GGUGACACAGUGACAGAGUUAGGAGGGAGUGACUAGUGACUAGUGACAGUCACCCCCUCCCUCACUCUGUCACUAGUCACCCCCUUCCCUCUCUCUGUCACUCCCUCACUCUGUCACUAGUGUGAGGGGGUUACUAGUGACAGAGUGAGGGAAGGGGUGACUAGUGGCAGAGUGAGGGAAGGAAGGGGUGACUAGUGACAGAGUGAGGGAUGUGGUGACUGUUACUAGUCACCACCUCCCUCUGUCACUACUCCCUCCCUCCUCCUGUCACUACUCCCUCCCUUCUUCUGUCACUAGUCACCCCCUCCCUCACUCUGUCACCAGUCAUCCCCUCCCUCACUCUGUCACCAGUCAUCCCCUUCCCUCACUCUGUCACCCCCUCACUCUAGUGACAGAGGG
rnacentral:sRNA from 1 species